GCCGGCAGCUAGCUCUCUGCAACUCUCACAUGGUCGCCCACUGAAGCUAAGCAGGGCUGUGCCCGGUCAAUACCUUGAUAGGAGACCAUAUGAGAAAGCUAGGAUGCUGCCGGAA
rnacentral:rRNA from 1 species